rnacentral:rRNA from 1 species
UACGGGGGGUGCAAACGUUGCUCGGAAUUAUUGGGCGUAAAGCGCACGUAGGCGGUCUGAUAAGUCGGGUGUGAAAGCCCCGGGCUCAACCCGGGAAGUGCACUCGAAACUGACAGGCUUGAGUACGGAAGAGGGUCUCGGAAUUCCCGGUGUAGAGGUGAAAUUCGUAGAUAUCGGGAGGAACACCAGUGGCGAAGGCGGAGACCUGGGCCGAUACUGACGCUGAGGUGCGAAAGCGUGGGGAGCAAACAGG